rnacentral:rRNA from 1 species
AACCCGAAGCCUUACCAUGCAGUCGAACGGUAGCAGGUCUUCGGAUGCUGACGAGUGGCGGACGGGUGAGUAACGCGUAGGAAUCUGCCUAUUAGUGGGGGACAACUUGUGGAAACGCAAGCUAAUACCGCAUACGCCCUAAGGGGGAAAGGAGGGGAUCGUAAGACCUUUCGCUAAUAGAUGAGCCUGCGUUAGAUUAGCUAGUUGGUGGGGUAAAGGCCUACCAAGGCGACGAUCUAUAGCUGUUCUGAGAGGAAGAUCAGCCACACUGGGACUGAGACACGGCCCAGACUCCUACGGGAGGCAGCAGUGGGGAAUAUUGGACAAUGGGCGCAAGCCUGAUCCAGCAAUACCGCGUGUGUGAAGAAGGCCUUAGGGUUGUAAAGCACUUUCAAUAGGGAGGAAAAAGAAGUAGCUAAUACCUGCUUUAUUGACAUUACCUAUACAAGAAGCACCGGCUAACUCCGUGCCAGCAGCCGCGGUAAUACGGAGGGUGCAAGCGUUAAUCGGAAUUACUGGGCGCAAAGCGUGCGUAGGCGGCUCGUUAAGUCAGAUGUGAAAGCCCUGGGCUCAACCUGGGAACUGCAUUUGAAACUGGCGAGCUAGAGUUGAGUAGAGGUAAGUGGAAUUUCAGGUGUAGCGGUGAAAUGCGUAGAUAUCUGAAGGAACACCAGUGGCGAAGGCGACUUACUGGACUCAAACUGACGCUGAGGUACGAAAGCGUGGGUAGCAAACAGGAUUAGAUACCCUGGUAGUCCACGCUGUAAACGAUGUCAACUAGCCGUUGGGUCUCUUUGAGACAUAGUGGCGCAGCUAACGCAUUAAGUUGACCGCCUGGGGAGUACGGCCGCAAGGUUAAAACUCAAAGGAAUUGACGG